rnacentral:rRNA from 1 species
UACAGGGGUCUCAAGCGUUGUUCGGAUUCAUUGGGCGUAAAGGGCGCGUAGGCGGCCUGGUAAGCGGGCGGUGAAAGCCCGGGGCUCAACCCCGGGUCGGCCGUGCGGACUGCCGGGCUGGAGCACUGUAGAGGCGGGUGGAAUUCCGGGUGUAGCGGUGAAAUGCGCAGAUAUCAGGAGGAACACCGGUGGCGAAGGCGGAUCUCUGGGCCUUACCUGACGCUCAGGUGCGAAAGCUAGGGGAGCGAACAGG